GCUGAACUCCGAACAACAUUAGAGAGGGUGCCGAUGAAAUGUGGUGGUGCCUUUGAGAUUACCUCCAGAGUUGGAUGUCAGAGUGUGCAAGGCAUUCGCAGAUUUUAACGUGGAAGAAGCACAUGUCUGUAUUUAUUUCUUCUUUCUAUCUUUCGUUGUUAAGAUGAAGAAAAUAAAUAGAAGAACCAAUUUUGGUGGUGGUUUUCUGUUGAAACUUAGCGUGAGGUUGAAGCUAUAGGGAAGUCAGAUCGUCAAUGUCUCCGCCACUGCCAUAACCGCAGACUAAAACCGAGAGAUUACUUGGAAGGGAACCACUGAUCCCUUUGAGAGUGGAUAUCAUCAGCGGCAUGACAUGGCAUGGGAAGCGGCAACCAAAACAAGGCAAGGGCUGAUGUCUUGAGCAUCAGGAGGCGUGUUGCCUGGUGUUGCAGCGUCAUCCUGUCGGUGGAGCAUGCUGAGCCUGUCAGCACCCAUCAUCCAAGCUGACGCCGGCGAUGAGAAAUUAUCCGGAGCUUAGGCGUCCAAAUCCUCAACCAAUCAGGUGCUAAUUGAGAACCAUUGGGAACUUUUAUCGAGGUGAGAUUGUGUAGACCAUUUGUCUGAGUAGUGUCUAUCUGCAAGACACGUUUCUUACAAUGCUACUGCUAGGUGUAAUAUACUUUCAUACAAUCUCCGUGUCUACUUACUCGCUGACUGUUUAUCAUUUGCGCUGUGCGGGGCUUGCGCAGCAAGCCACUCCCAAAAUAUGGCUUCUUUUGCAUCGAAAAAAUAGCGAAUCCCUUGCUGCAUAGUACUGGCAACUCUAAUUAGUUCAAUACUGGAAAAGUAUAAUAUAUUAUUCUGCCAUAUUUUAAUUGUAAAGUGCUAGCUACUGAAUGGUUGGUGCCAUAUUGAAUUUUAUCCUCUCAAUUUCUUCUGUAUUUUUAUUUUGACGAGAAAAGAAAUUGCCAUCAAUUGCCAUCAAAUCAGAGAUGAGCCUCAAGUUCCAAUUUUCUGAAAUAAAAUUAUUGUGUUGUUCCAUUUUCUUAGAUAAUAGUUGUUUCAGAUGGAAAAUUUAAGAGUUCCUUCUCCUAUCGCACAAAAUGUAUUUUGGGAUUGCUGGUGCGCAUAGAAAUUUUGCCUCUUAUGGAUAACUUGGCGGUAUCCAAUAUGUUCUUAAACCAAUACUCCAAUAUUUUUCCUGCUUAUUGGCCAAUUCUUCUCAGGUUUUUUUAUAGGAAUGGUGACUCUGGAUUUAUAACUGCUGAGCAUCUAUGUAUAUGCAUCUUUUAUAUCAUGAUAGCAAGAUAGCUUAUAUUUUGUAAUGUGUCUGUCAACCCAUAAGCAGGAUGCUCCUUGCUUCUGGGGACAUAUUGGUAUGGGUUGAUCAGCCAAUAUUUUUCCUGUUUAUUGGCCAAUUCUUCUUAGCUUUUUUUUAUAGGAAUGCUGACUCUGGAUUUAUAACUGCUCAGCACCUAUGUAUACACAUCUUUUAU